UACGUAGGGUGCAAGCGUUGUCCGGAAUUAUUGGGCGUAAAGAGCUCGUAGGCGGUUUGUCGCGUCUGCUGUGAAAAUCCAGGGCUUAACCCUGGACCUGCAGUGGGUACGGGCAGACUGGAGUGCGGUAGGGGAGAUCGGAAUUCCUGGUGUAGCGGUGAAAUGCGCAGAUAUCAGGAAGAACACCCGUGGCUAAGGCGGCUCUCUAGUACGGUACUGACGCUGAGACGCGAAAGCGUGGGGAGCGAACAGG
rnacentral:rRNA from 1 species